CACAGAGAGCUUGCUCUCGGGUGACGAGCGGCGGACGGGUGAGUAAUGUCUGGGAAACUGCCUGAUGGAGGGGGAUAACUACUGGAAACGGUAGCUAAUACCGCAUAACGUCGCAAGACCAAAGAGGGGGACCUUCGGGCCUCUUGCCAUCAGAUGUGCCCAGAUGGGAUUAGCUAGUAGGUGGGGUAAUGGCUCACCUAGGCGACGAUCCCUAGCUGGUCUGAGAGGAUGACCAGCCACACUGGAACUGAGACACGGUCCAGACUCCUACGGGAGGCAGCAGUGGGGAAUAUUGCACAAUGGGCGCAAGCCUGAUGCAGCCAUGCCGCGUGUAUGAAGAAGGCCUUCGGGUUGUAAAGUACUUUCAGCGAGGAGGAAGGCAUUGUGGUUAAUAACCACAGUGAUUGACGUUACUCGCAGAAGAAGCACCGGCUAACUCCGUGCCAGCAGCCGCGGUAAUACGGAGGGUGCAAGCGUUAAUCGGAAUUACUGGGCGUAAAGCGCACGCAGGCGGUCUGUCAAGUCGGAUGUGAAAUCCCCGGGCUCAACCUGGGAACUGCAUUCGAAACUGGCAGGCUAGAGUCUUGUAGAGGGGGGUAGAAUUCCAGGUGUAGCGGUGAAAUGCGUAGAGAUCUGGAGGAAUACCGGUGGCGAAGGCGGCCCCCUGGACAAAGACUGACGCUCAGGUGCGAAAGCGUGGGAGCAAACAGGAUUAGAUACCCUGGUAGUCCACGCCGUAAACGAUGUCGACUUGGAGGUUGUUCCCUUGAGGAGUGGCUUCCGGAGCUAACGCGUUAAGUCGACCGCCUGGGGAGUACGGCCGCAGGUUAAAACUCAAAUGAAUUGACGGGGGCCCGCACAAGCGGUGGAGCAUGUGGUUUAAUUCGAUGCAACGCGAAGAACCUUACCUACUCUUGACAUCCAGAGAACUU
rnacentral:rRNA from 1 species